CCCUUAGAUGUUCUGGGCUGCACGCGUGUUACAAUCGGGAGUACAACAAGAUUGCAAAUCCUAGUGGAUGAGCGGUUCUUCGAAAUUUUCUGAAGACUGGGAUAGUUGAUUGAAAUUAUUCAACUCAAACGAGGAAUUCCUUGUAAUUGUAAUUCAUUAUAUUGUAAUGAAUACGUCCCUGCCCUUUGUACACACCGCCCGUCGCUCCUACCGAUUGAACGAUCCGGUGAAUUAUUUGGAGUAGCUCUGGAAGUUGCAGAACUUCCUAUGUCACGAAAUUUUGUAAACCUUAUCGUUUAGAGGAAGGAAAAGUCGUAACA
rnacentral:rRNA from 1 species